AGAGUUUGAUCCUGGCUCAGGAUGAACGCUAGCGGCAGGCCUAAUACAUGCAAGUCGAACGCUCAGUAGCAAUACUGGGAGUGGCGCACGGGUGCGUAACGCGUACACAAUCUACCUCUAAGCGGGGGACACCUCCUGGAAACGGGGAUUAAUACCGCAUAAUAUGCCGAGGUCGCAUGACUUUGGUAUUAAAGCAGCAAUGCACUUAGAGAUGAGUGUGCGUCCCAUUAGGUAGUUGGUGAGGUAAACGGCUCACCAAGCCUAUGAUGGGUAGCCGGUCUGAGAGGAUGGUCGGCCACACGGGCACUGAGACACGGGCCCGACUCCUACGGGAGGCAGCAGUAAGGAAUAUUGGUCAAUGGUGGAAACACUGAACCAGCCAUGCCGCGUGGAGGAAUAAGGUCCUACGGAUUGUAAACUCCUUUUGACGAGGAAGAAAGUGUUAGAUUUAUCUAAUUUUGACGGUACUCGUAGAAUAAGCACCGGCUAACUCCGUG
rnacentral:rRNA from 1 species